UACGGGAGGCAGCAGUGGGGAAUUUUGGACAAUGGGCGCAAGCCUGAUCCAGCCAUGCCGCGUGUCUGAAGAAGGCCUUCGGGUUGUAAAGGACUUUUGUUCGGGAGCAAAUCCUAGUGGUUAAUACCUACUGGGGAUUGAGAGUACCGGAAGAAUAAGCACCGGCUAACUACGUGCCAGCAGCCGCGGUAAUACGUAGGGUCCAAGCGUUAAUCGGAAUUACUGGGCGUAAAGCGUGCGCAGGCGGUUGUGCAAGUCUGAUGUGAAAGCCCCGGGCUUAACCUGGGAACGGCAUUGGAGACUGCACGACUAGAGUGCGUCAGAGGGGGGUAGAAUUCCGCGUGUAGCAGUGAAAUGCGUAGAGAUGCGGAGGAAUACCGAUGGCGAAGGCAGCCCCCUGGGAUGACACUGACGCUCAUGCACGAAAGCGUGGGGAGCAAACAGGAUUAGAUACCCUGGUAGUCCACGCCCUAAACGAUGUCAACUAGCUGUUGGGGGUUUGAAUCCUUGGUAGCGAAGCUAACGCGAGAAGUUGACCGCCUGGGGAGUACGGCCGCAAGGUU
rnacentral:rRNA from 1 species